UUCAACAGAUUCUCUCUCUGUCUAUUGCUACUUCCUGGCUUUGGUCCUAUAAACUCUUUCUUGUUCUGCAAGAGAGUCUCUGUUUCUCAUGCCUUGUCUCAGUCUAGGCUACAUGGAUUGGAUUGGUCUCAGUCAGACUCCUAAAAUUACAUUCAUGGUCAAAGAUUAGGGUCAGAAACUCUGUUCCUCAAGCUUUCUCUCAUACACCAGGGACUUAACCCUUGCCUUCUGAACCUUUCAUGAUCCAAACAUCCUGCAUCAAGAAUUAAAACCCAUAAGUUUGAAACUCUCAUUCUCAAAGUCCAAGGCUCUUCUACAAGCUUUCUUGGCAUGAGUUGAAGCUUGAUCAAAUCAAUUGCUUCUUUCAGCUAAUCCGAUUCAUUAGAAUUUGAAGUGUAGAGAGAGCUUUGACGGGAAAAAAAAGAGUUCAUAGUGGGGAAUGGCAGAGACUUUUGAUGAGGAUUCUGGAGUGGGAAGAUCAGUAGAGGAGAGUACAAAUGGACAAUACAGUCUAUCAGGAGAAGCACUCUCUCAGUGGAGGUGUUCUACUCAAGUGGAUAAUGGGCUAUCACGUACA